CUCUGAUUGGAAUGGUUGUUGGAAUUUUGAAGACAAAGAUUUGAAAAACAUAACUACGGUAUCUAGGCUACUUGACAAUUGAACCGGUAGAGUACGGUGUUGACGUGUUAGUUGUUUUGACCGACAGUAGAAGGUAUCAAGCAGCAAAGUUGUGGUUUUGGGCAUUCCUCAUUCGUGUUCCUGCCCCUCUCAGUAUUUCUUUUAUACGUUGUUCAAUCUCGUUUAUUGUUACACUUUUUACUCAGUAUUUUUUAUUGCAAACAAAGUACCUCGUGCAUAACAACUAUGACACAGUCAAACAGCAACAACGUUGUGUAUUUACAGACUGCAUUACGAAACUUGGAGGAACGAUACAAGAAACUUCAAAAUCGAGUCGAGUCAUUACAAAUGGAAAAUGAAAGGCUGGUUACAAGCCGAACAGAGCUUGUGGUUGAAGUUGAACGCUUGCAGGACCAGCAAAUCCGUUUACGAGAACGGAAUUUAAGACUCACACAGGAGUUCCAUUCUAAGCAGCAAGAAUGCUCCCUCCUGGCUGAAAAAUUGACUAUAUUUGCUCGUGGCCGAGUUGGCAAUGCAUAUAAGACAGAUUCUGAAAGUUUCAAGUCAGAUCUGACAGAAGUCAAAGAAGAUCUUGAAGGAUCACAUGACAGCCUUGUUACAGUUGAGCUUUAUGGUGGUUCUGAUACAAGACCGAAAACACUUGAUGUCACAAGUCGCACAUAUUCUGAACCUAAUCUGAGUGCUAUUCAAAGAGAAUUGGAUUUGGUACGGAAAGGUCUUUGGUCCCCUGCUUUGGAAAACGCAAAAGGGACAGUUGUCGAAGAGUUGUCAUCAAAAAUAUUGCUCAGUCUAAAGAAAGGGCAGGGUGAGCUUGAAGAGCAGUGCUCAAGGAUGAUGGAAUUCCAACGUAACUCGAUGGAAGCAGUUCAAGGAUUAUCCAUUCUGUCAGAUGAAAAUGAUGAAACAGAUCCAAUGGAGUAUGUUCAACAGUGUACACAAACUGCACUUACUCUCAAAGAAAAAUUACAAAAUGAAAACUUGAAAUUACGUCAUCUGCAUCAAAUAUUAAGAAUGAACGCAGCAAAUGAAGCGGCAGCUGCGAGUGUUGUAACUCAAACAAGUUUCGACAUGCAUGCACCCGAUUUGGGCAGUUCGUCAGUGUGGAAAAACAUGAACCUACAAGACCGCAUUUGUCCUCUUUGUGAAAACAUGUUUUCGACGGUUAUAUCCCAAGACGAAUUUGUUGAUCACGUAAUGUCGCAUUUUGAAGGUGACGGUCAUAUGCCUGAGUUCGAAAUCUUGAGUCUUAAUACCUGAUUCCUAUGACUUCUGUGAUAUUCUGAAAUGUUCCAGAAACUUAAAAAACGAUUGAAUUCAACGGGUCUUUUGCCAUUUGCAAUAGCCUUAUUCUACUCAGAAUCCAUCUUCUGUCAUUAUAUACUUCGAACAGAACAAUUAUUUUUCACUAUCGUGGUUGACCCUUCGGUGCUUUUGUUUGUCGCUUCCAUAGGUUACGUGCGAAAGGAGUGUAGACCAUCAAGAAAAAAAAUACCGUUGAAAACGGGUCUUUUGCCAUUUGCAAUAGCCUUAUUCUACUCAGAAUCCAUCCUCUGUCAUUAUAUACUUCGAACAGAACAAUUAUUUUUCACUAUCGUGGUUGACCCUACGGGUAUUUUAUAGGAUUUGUUUUAAUGAGCAUAAUUCGGCCAAAACAUUUUUGGCUGGAUACAUUAUUAUCAUAUUAAACCAUUCGACGCGUAA